rnacentral:rRNA from 1 species
UGAAUGGGCUAGGGCAUACACCAAUGUACCAAACCCUAUCAAACUCCGAAUACCUUAUAUGUAAUCACAGCAGUCAGGCGGCGAGUGAUAAAAUCCGUCGUCAAGAGGGAAACAACCCAGACUACCAGCUAAGGUCCCUAAAUCUUACUUAAGUGGAAAACGAUGUGAAGUUACUUAAACAACCAGGAGGUUGGCUUAGAAGCAGCCAUCCUUUAAAGAAAGCGUAAUAGCUCACUGGUCUAGUGAUUUUGCGCGGAAAAUAUAACGGGGCUAAAGUAAGUACCGAAGCUGUAGACUUAGUUUACUAAGUGGUAGGAGAGCGUUCUAUUUGCGUCGAAGGUAUACCGGUAAGGAGUGCUGGAGCGAAUAGAAGUGAGCAUGCAGGCAUGAGUAGCGAUAAUUAAUGUGAGAAUCAUUAACGCCGUAAACCCAAGGUUUCCUACGCGAUGCUCGUCAUCGUAGGGUUAGUCGGGUCCUAAGUCGAGUCCGAAAGGGGUAGACGAUGGCAAAUUGGUUAAUAUUCCAAUACCAACAUUAGUGUGCGAUGGAAGGACGCUUAGGGCUAAGGGGGCUAGCGGAUGGAAGUGCUAGUCUAAGGUCGUAGGAGGUUAUACAGGCAAAUCCGUAUAACAAUACUCCGAGAACUGAAAGGCUUUUUGAAGUCUUCGGAUGGAUAGAAGAACCCCUGAUGCCAUCGAGCCAAGAAAAGUUUCUAAGUUUAGCUAAUGUUGCCCGUACCGUAAACCGACACAGGUGGGUGGGAUGAGUAUUCUAAGGCGCGUGGAAGAACUCUCUUUAAGGAACUCUGCAAAAUAGCACCGUAUCUUCGGUAUAAGGUGUGGUUCGCUUCGUAUUAGGAUUUACUCCGAAAGCGAAGAAACUUACAACAAAGAGUCCCUCCCGACUGUUUACCAAAAACACAGCACUCUGCUAACUCGUAAGAGGAUGUAUAGGGUGUGACGCCUGCCCGGUGCUCGAAGGUUAAUUGAUGGGGUUAGCAUUAGCGAAGCUCUUGAUCGAAGCCCGAGUAAACGGCGGCCGUAACUAUAACGGUCCUAAGGUAGCGAAAUUCCUUGUCGGUUAAAUACCGACCUGCAUGAAUGGCGUAACGAGAUGGGAGCUGUCUCAAAGAGGGAUCCAGUGAAAUUGUAGUGGAGGUGAAAAUUCCUCCUACCCGCGGCAAGACGGAAAGACCCCGUGGACCUUUACUACAGCUUGACACUGCUAUUUGGAUAAGAAUGUGCAGGAUAGGUGGGAGGCUUUGAGUAUAUGACGCCAGUUGUAUAUGAGCCAUUGUUGAGAUACCACUCUUUCUUAUUUGGGUAGCUAACCAGCUUGAGUUAUCCUCAAGUGGGACAAUGUCUGGUGGGUAGUUUGACUGGGGCGGUCGCCUCCCAAAUAAUAACGGAGGCUUACAAAGGUUGGCUCAGAACGGUUGGAAAUCGUUCGUAGAGUAUAAAGGUAUAAGCCAGCUUAACUGCAAGACAUACAAGUCAAGCAGAGACGAAAGUCGGUCUUAGUGAUCCGGUGGUUCUGUGUGGAAGGGCCAUCGCUCAAAGGAUAAAAGGUACCCCGGGGAUAACAGGCUGAUCUCCCCCAAGAGCUCACAUCGACGGGGAGGUUUGGCACCUCGAUGUCGGCUCAUCGCAUCCUGGGGCUGGAGCAGGUCCCAAGGGUAUGGCUGUUCGCCAUUUAAAGCGGUACGCGAGCUGGGUUCAGAACGUCGUGAGACAGUUCGGUCCCUAUCUGCCGUGGGCGUAAGAAGAUUGAAGAGAUUUGACCCUAGUACGAGAGGACCGGGUUGAACAAACCACUGGUGUAGCUGUUGUUCUGCCAAGAGCAUCGCAGCGUAGCUAAGUUUGGAAAGGAUAAACGCUGAAAGCAUCUAAGCGUGAAGCCAACUCUAAGAUGAAUCUUCUCUAAGCUCUCUAGAAGACUACUAGUUUGAUAGGCUGGGUGUGUAAUGGAUGAAAGUCCUUUAGCUGACCAGUACUAAUAGAGCGUUUGGCUUAUCUUUAAUAAAGCAU